rnacentral:rRNA from 2 species
CGAAGGGGGGACGGAGAAGGCUAUGUUGGCCGGGCGACGGUUGUCCCGGUUUAAGCGUGUAGGCUGGUUUUCCAGGCAAAUCCGGAAAAUCAAGGCUGAGGCGUGAUGACGAGGCACUACGGUGCUGAAGCAACAAAUGCCCUGCUUCCAGGAAAAGCCUCUAAGCAUCAGGUAACAUCAAAUCGUACCCCAAACCGACACAGGUGGUCAGGUAGAGAAUACCAAGGCGCUUGAGAGAACUCGGGUGAAGGAACUAGGCAAAAUGGUGCCGUAACUUCGGGAGAAGGCACGCUGAUAUGUAGGUGAAGUCCCUCGCGGAUGGAGCUGAAAUCAGUCGAAGAUACCAGCUGGCUGCAACUGUUUAUUAAAAACACAGCACUGUGCAAACACGAAAGUGGACGUAUACGGUGUGACGCCUGCCCGGUGC